GGAGAGUGUUAGAGCGGGUUAGAGUCCCAAUUGGUUAGGGAAUAGACGGGUGGUCGGUCUCUUUGUAUGGACUUGGACAAUCUUUCCCUCAAGAGCUAGUUUGGAGGUUGAGUUAGGCACAAGUGCCAUAUUUCACCUAUGCCUUUCACUAUGUGUUUUGUCUUAAUAAACUUUCCUCGAAUACGACAUUGUUGCAAUGUAAAGUAAUGGUACUUGGAUGCCCU
rnacentral:misc_RNA from 1 species